UGAGACACGGUCCAGACUCCUACGGGAGGCAGCAGUGGGGAAUAUUGCACAAUGGGCGCAAGCCUGAUGCAGCCAUGCCGCGUGUGUGAAGAAGGCCUUCGGGUUGUAAAGCACUUUCAGUAGGGAGGAAGGUGGUAGUGUUAAUAGCGCUAUCAUUUGACGUUACCUACAGAAGAAGCACCGGCUAACUCCGUGCCAGCAGCCGCGGUAAUACGGAGGGUGCGAGCGUUAAUCGGAAUUACUGGGCGUAAAGCGCAUGCAGGUGGUUUGUUAAGUCAGAUGUGAAAGCCCCGGGCUCAACCUGGGAAUUGCAUUUGAAACUGGCAAACUAGAGUACUGUAGAGGGGGGUAGAAUUUCAGGUGUAGCGGUGAAAUGCGUAGAGAUCUGAAGGAAUACCGGUGGCGAAGGCGGCCCCCUGGACAGAUACUGACACUCAGAUGCGAAAGCGUGGGGAGCAAACAGGAUUAGAUACCCUGGUAGUCCACGCCGUAAACGAUGUCUACUUGGAGGUUGUGGCCUUGAGCCGUGGCUUUCGGAGCUAACGCGUUAAGUAGACCGCCUGGGGAGUACGGUCGCAAGAUUAAAACUCAAAUGAAUUGACGGGGGCCCGCACAAGCGGUGGAGCAUGUGGUUUAAUUCGAUGCAACGCGAAGAACCUUACCUACUCUUGAC
rnacentral:rRNA from 1 species